CGCGGAGUGGAGCAGUCAGGUAGCUCGCUUGGUUGCCAAGAGGUCGCUGGUUCAAAUCCGGCUUCCGCGUC
rnacentral:tRNA from 1 species